rnacentral:rRNA from 1 species
UUGAACGCUGGCGGCAUGCCUUACACAUGCAAGUCGAACGGUAGAGGGGCAACCCUUGGGAGUGGCGAACGGGUGAGUAAUGCAUCGGAACGUGCCCAGUCGUGGGGGAUAACGCAGCGAAAGCUGUGCUAAUACCGCAUGUGAUCUGUGGAUGAAAGCAGGGGACCGCAAGGCCUUGUGCGAUUGGAGCGGCCGAUGUCAGAUUAGCUAGUUGGUAGGUAAAGCCUACCAAGGCGACGAUCUG